GACGAACGCUGGCGGCGUGCUUAACACAUGCAAGUCGAACGGAAAGGCCCUGCUUUUGUGGGGUGCUCUAGUGGCGAACGGGUGAGUAACACGUGAGUAACCUGCCCUUGACUUUGGGAUAACUUCAGGAAACUUGGGCUAAUACCGGAUAGGAGCUCCUGCUGCAUGGUGGGGGUUGGAAAGUUUCGGCGGUUGGGGAUGGACUCGCGGCUUAUCAGCUUGUUGGUGGGGUAGUGGCUUACCAAGGCUUUGACGGGUAGCCGGCCUGAGAGGGUGACCGGCCACAUUGGGACUGAGAUACGGCCCAGACUCCUACGGGAGGCAGCAGUGGGGAAUAUUGCACAAUGGGCGGAAGCCUGAUGCAGCAACGCCGCGUGCGGGAUGACGGCCUUCGGGUUGUAAACCGCUUUCGCCUGUGACGAAGCGUGAGUGACGGUAAUGGGUAAAGAAGCACCGGCUAACUACGUG
rnacentral:rRNA from 1 species